rnacentral:rRNA from 1 species
CGUAUGGGGAAUGCCUAGGCUCUCAGAGGCGAUGAAGGACGCGAUAAGCUGCGAAAAGCUGUGGGGAGGUGCACAUAACUUGUGAUCCGCAGAUAUCCGAAUGGGGCAACCCACUAUAUUGAAGGUAUAGUAUCCCGUAAGGGAAGUGAACCCGGUGAACUGAAACAUCUAAGUAGCCGGAGGAAGAGAAAACAAAAGUGAUUCCGGGAGUAGUGGCGAGCGAAACCGGAUUAGCCCAAACCAGUGUUGUUUCGGCAAUACUGGGGUUGUAGGACCACGACAUUGAUUGCGUAAUGAAUUAGAACACUUUGGAAAGAGUGACCGAAGAGGGUGAUAGUCCCGUACAAGUAAAGAGCGUUAAUUAUAGUGGUAUCCUGAGUAGUGCGGGGCACGUGAAACCCUGUAUGAAUCAAGCGGGACCAUCCGUUAAGGCUAAAUACUCCUGAGAGACCGAUAGUGAACCAGUACCGUGAGGGAAAGGUGAAAAGAACCCUGAAUAAGGGAGUGAAAAAGAUCCUGAAACCAUACGCUUACAAGCGGUCGGAGCCCGUAAGGGGUGACGGCGUGCCUUUUGCAUAAUGAGCCUACGAGUUACUUUUACUAGCAAGGUUAAGCACUUCAGGUGCGGAUCCGUAGCGAAAGCGAGUCUGAAUAGGGCGACCAUAGUUAGUAGUAGUAGACGCGAAACCGUGUGAUCUACCCAUGGGCAGGUUGAAGCUUUGUUAACCCAAAGUGGAGGACCGAACCCGUUGACGUUGAAAAGUCUUGGGAUGACCUGUGGGUAGGGGUGAAAGGCCAAUCAAACUCGGAAAUAGCUCGUACUCCCCGAAAUGCAUUUAGGUGCAGCGUUUAACUAGUUUUAUAGAGGUAGAGCUACUGAUUGGAUGCGGGGGCUUCACCGCCUACCAAUUCCUGACAAACUCCGAAUGCUAUAAAAUGUUGUUGAGCAGUGAGGGCAUGGGUGCUAAGGUCCAUGUCCGAGAGGGAAAGAACCCAGAUCAUCAGCUAAGGUCCCCAAGUGUAUGCUAAGUUGACAAAACGCGGUAAAACUGCAUUGACAGCCAGGAUGUUGGCUUGGAAGCAGCCAUUCAUUUAAAGAGUGCGUAACAGCUCACUGGUCGAGCGGUUUUGCAUGGAUAAUAAUCGGGCAUAAGUAUACCACCGAAGCUAUGACUUUGUCUUAUGACAAGGGGUAGGGGAGCAUUCUAUGGGCAUUGAAGGUGCUGGCGUGAGCCGUGCUGGAGCGCAUAGAAACGAAAAUGUAGGCAUAAGUAACGAUAAUGCGGGCGAGAAACCCGCACGCCGAAAGACCAAGGUUUCCCCAGCUAUGCUAAUCAGCUGGGGGUCAGUCGGGACCUAACGCGAACCCGAACGGGGUAGUGGAUGGACAAUCAGUUAAUAUUCUGAUACCUGCUCACAUUAAAAGUGACGGGGAUGAGGCGUUGGUGCGAAGAGACGGAAUUCUUCGUUGAAGGUAGCGGAAGC